rnacentral:lncRNA from 1 species
CAACAUCCACCAUUGCAUUGCAUAUCGACACCCUUGCGAUGACGACAGUGAACGGCGACGGUGGCGAUGAUACCUCGGCAGUGCCUAGAAGAAGAGCCUCUGAACCUGGUCGCCCUCACGCAAUAUUGCUCUGUCGUGGAAUCGUCGUAUCUAAAGCAUGGCAGCGUUGCAUUGCAUAUCGACACCCUUGCGAAGACGACAGUGAACGGCGACGGUGGCGAUGAUACCUCGGCAGUGCUUAGAAGAAGAGCGGCAACCGCUACAAACUCAUCGGAGGAUAGUGUUCUUCCCUCUCCUCUGAACCUGGUCGCCCUCACGCAGUAUUGCUCUGCCGUGGAAUCGUCGUAUCUAAAGCAUGGCAGCGAACACUCGCAGC